rnacentral:lncRNA from 10 species
AAAGAGCUGGGCCAUCCGUGGCAAUGCCUCCCAGGCUUGGGAGCUGGGAAAAGGCCCCAGGAGCUAGGGCAUCCUGAUUGUUCUUUCAAAGAAAUCCCUCUUGUUCUUAGUCAACAUGCUGGAUACCAGCUAAAAAAUGCAAAAUGAUCUUCAGGCAGGGAUGGCACAGGACCCUUGCUGAGCUGUGAAGCCUGGCUGUGAGGAUUCCUGCAUGGAAACAUCAACAUGUUGCCAGAUUGGUAUACGACUCAACACCACACUGACAUGCUGCUCCCAAACAGUGCCUUUGAAUCAAGACCCAGUCAUCGUAUUCGAAGAAAAAGGAAAUAUCCCUGACCAUGUUGGGACUUAACACUGCUUCACAGAGUCCAUGGAGUUCCUGGUGACUAAUGCCAUCCACAAGAUCUGAAGGUGUUGUGUAACCUAGACCUGGCCCUUCUCUCAGUGCAUCCCCCUCUCCAGAGUGACCAACUCAGAGAGGUCAUGUGCUUAAGGGUGAGAACCACUACAGGACAAAAAUGAGCUCCUUUUUUCCAGUCUCAGCCCAGGAGGGAUCUUCACAGAGAAAGCAAGCCCAGCCCAUCCCCACAGCUGGCUCCCUGGUGCCCAUUCUGAAAGGCUGGACCCAUCCUGACCUGUCCCUGCCCCAAGGACUGCCUGGUGAGGGAUGGCUUACCAACACUGUGACUCAGUCCUUCCAACAUGCCCAACAGGUCAAUUCUGGGAUAUUCCUUACAGGAAUUAAUGAGAGCACAUUGCCGGUAAUGUUGGCAUUAGUAGAUUACAUUUAAAUUUAAAAAUUCCUUUUAUGGGGUUUAAGAAUAGAGACAAGACACCCAUGCAAUAAAGAAAGGAGGAGACUUUGCCUGGUCUAAUGGAGAAGCUGGAGCUGCAUUGUUGGGUACAGUGGCCAGUGGCUACACCUGGCUUUUGAGCCCUUGCACAGUGGCAAGGACACAUUGAGAUGUGCCCUAGGUGCAAGAUACACACAGGAUUUCAAAGACUGAGUAUGAAAAAAGAAGAAAAAAUGUCUCAUUAAUAUUUUUAUAUUGGUUGCAUGUGGAAGUGAUAACAUUUUGGAUAUAAAGUUGACCUUUGAACAGUAUGGGUUUGAACUGCACAGGUCUGCUUAUAAGUGAAAUUUCUUCUGCCUCUGCCACCCCUGAGACAGCAAGACCAACCCUCCACUUCCUCCUCCUCCUCCUCCUCCUCAACCUGCUCAACGUGAAGAUGAUGAAGAUCAAGACCUUCAUGAUGAUCUACUUCCACUUAAUGAAUAGUAAAUAUAUUUUCUCUUCCUUGUGAUUUUCUUAAUAACGUUUUCUUUCCUCUAGCUUAUUUUGUUGUAAGGAUACAGUGGUAUAUAAUAUUUAUAACAUACAAAAUAUGUGUUAACCAACUCUGCUAUCAGUAAGGCUUCUGAUCAACAGUAUGCUAACAUUUUUGGACAGUAGUUAAGUUUGGGCAGAGUCAAAAGUUAUAGGCAGAUUCUUGAUUGUGUGGGGUAUUGGCAUCCCUAAUCUCUGCACUGUUCAAGGGUAAACUGCAUUAGCUGAAAUAAAGCAUAUUCUUAAAAUGAA